rnacentral:rRNA from 1 species
GCAAGUCGAGCGCCCUUCGGGGUGAGCGGCGGACGGGUUAGUAACGCGUGGGAACGUACCCUUUUCUAAGGAAUAGCCUCUGGAAACGAAGAGUAAUACCGUAUACGCCCUUUGGGGGAAAGAUUUAUCGGAGAAGGAUUGGCCCGCGUUAGAUUAGAUAGUUGGUGGGGUAAUGGCCUACCAAGCCUACGAUCUAUAGCUGGUUUGAGAGGAUGAUC